rnacentral:siRNA from 1 species
UCGGGUCUAUGGGCUCUACCACUG